rnacentral:rRNA from 1 species
GAUGAACGCUAGCGGCAGGCUUAACACAUGCAAGUCGAGGGGUAUAGUUCUUCGGAACUAGAGACCGGCGCACGGGUGCGUAACGCGUAUGUAAUCUACCUUUUACAGGGGGAUAGCCCAGAGAAAUUUGGAUUAAUACCCCAUAGUAUGUUGUGGUGGCAUCACUAUAACAUUAAAGUUCCAACGGUAAAAGAUGAGCAUGCGUCCCAUUAGCUAGAUGGUAAGGUAACGGCUUACCAUGGCUACGAUGGGUAGGGGUCCUGAGAGGGAGAUCCCCCCCAUUGAUACUGAGCAAAGACACAGACCACUACGGGAGGCAGCGGUGAGGAUUAUUGGAAACUGGCCCCAACCCUGCUCCAGCCCUGCGGCGGGAAGGAGGACGUUCUUAUGGAUUGAACACUGCUUUUGUACAGGAAAAAACCCCCCCUCGUGGGGGUGCUUGACGGUAUUGUAAGAAUAAGGAUCGGCUAACUCCGUGCCAGCACCCGCCGUAA